rnacentral:rRNA from 1 species
UGGGGAAUUUUGGACAAUGGGCGAAAGCCUGAUCCAGCAAUGCCGCGUGUGUGAAGAAGGCCUUCGGGUUGUAAAGCACUUUUGUCCGGAAAGAAAUCCUUGGCUCUAAUACAGUCGGGGGAUGACGGUACCGGAAGAAUAAGCACCGGCUAACUACGUGCCAGCAGCCGCGGUAAUACGUAGGGUGCAAGCGUUAAUCGGAAUUACUGGGCGUAAAGCGUGCGCAGGCGGUUUGCUAAGACCGAUGUGAAAUCCCCGGGCUCAACCUGGGAACUGCAUUGGUGACUGGCAGGCUAGAGUAUGGCAGAGGGGGGUAGAAUUCCACGUGUAGCAGUGAAAUGCGUAGAGAUGUGGAGGAAUACCGAUGGCGAAGGCAGCCCCCUGGGCCAAUACUGACGCUCAUGCACGAAAGCGUGGGGAGCAAACAGGAUUAGAUACCCUGGUAGUCCACGCCCUAAACGAUGUCAACUAGUUGUUGGGGAUUCAUUCCUUAGUAACGUAGCUAACGCGUGAAGUUGACCGCCUGGGGAGUACGGUCGCAAGAUUAAAACUCAAAUGAAUUGACGGGGUCAUA